GCGGAAGUAGCUCAUUUGGUAGAGCGCUAGCCUUGCCAAGGUCUGGGUGGCGAGUUCGAGCCUGGUCUUCCGCUCCA
rnacentral:tRNA from 1 species